rnacentral:rRNA from 1 species
UGGGGGAUAUUGCACAAUGGGCGAAAGCCUGAUGCAGCGACGCCGCGUGGGGGAUGAAGGCUUUCGGGUUGUAAACCUCUUUCGCUAUCGAACAAGGCCCGCUUAGGGUGGGUUGAGGGUAGGUGGAGAAGAAGCGCCGGCUAACUACGUGCCAGCAGCCGCGGUAAUACGUAGGGCGCGAGCGUUGUCCGGAAUUAUUUGGCGUAAAGGGCUUGUAGGCGGCUUGUUGCGCCUGCUGUGAAAACGCGGGGCUUAACUUCGCGCGUGCAGUGGGUACGGGCAGGCUUGAGUGUGGUAGGGGUGACUGGAAUUCCAGGUGUAGCGGUGGAAUGCGCAGAUAUCUGGAGGAACACCGAUGGCGAAGGCAGGUCACUGGGCCAUUACUGACGCUUAGGAGCGAAAGCAUGGGUAGCGAACAGG